AUUGAACGCUGGCGGCAGGCCUAACACAUGCAAGUCGAGCGGAUGAAGAGAGCUUGCUCUCUGAUUUAGCGGCGGACGGGUGAGUAAUGCCUAGGAAUCUGCCUGGUAGUGGGGAUAACGUUCCGAAAGGAACGCUAAUACCGCAUACGUCCUACGGGAGAAAGCAGGGGACCUUCGGGCCUUGCGCUAUCAGAUAAGCCUAGGUCGGAUUAGCUAGUUGGUGGGGUAAUGGCUCACCAAGGCGACGAUCCGUAACUGGUCUGAGAGGAUGAUCAGUCACACUGGAACUGAGACACGGUCCAGACUCCUACGGGAGGCAGCAGUGGGGAAUAUUGGACAAUGGGCGAAAGCCUGAUCCAGCCAUGCCGCGUGUGUGAAGAAGGUCUUCGGAUUGUAAAGCACUUUAAGUUGGGAGGAAGGGCAGUAAGUUAAUACCUUGCUGUUUUGACGUUACCGACAGAAUAAGCACCGGCUAACUCUGUGCCAGCCGCCGCCGUAAGAC
rnacentral:rRNA from 1 species